rnacentral:rRNA from 1 species
UACGUAGGGUGCGAGCGUUAAUCGGAAUUACUGGGCGUAAAGCGUGCGCAGGCGGUUCGUCGUGUCCGAUGUGAAAGCCCCGGGCUCAACCUGGGAAUGGCAUUGGAAACUGGCGGACUCGAGUGUGGCAGAGGGGGGUGGAAUUCCGCGUGUAGCAGUGAAAUGCGUAGAGAUGCGGAGGAACACCGAUGGCGAAGGCAGCCCCCCUGGGCUAACACUGACGCUCAGGCACGAAAGCGUGGGGAGCAAACGAGG